rnacentral:tRNA from 1 species
CAAAAUAUAGUUUAAUAAAAACAUUAAUUCUGGGAAUUAAAGAUAUUAAAUAUAUAUAUGGAUGAAUUAUUUUGA